GGUAACGGCCCACCAAAGCGACGAUCAGUAGCCGGCCUGAGAGGGUGGACGGCCACAUUGGGACUGAGACACGGCCCAGACUCCUACGGGAGGCAGCAGUGGGGAAUAUUGCACAAUGGGGGAAACCCUGAUGCAGCGACGCCGCGUGGAGGAAGAAGGUCUUCGGAUUGUAAACUUCUUUUGUCAGGGAAGAGCAGAAGACGGUACCUGACGAAUAAGCCACGGCUAACUAC
rnacentral:rRNA from 1 species